CGGAGUGGCGAACGGGUGAGUAAUACAUCGGAACGUGUCCGCUCUGGGGGACAACCAGCCGAAAGGUUGGCUAAUACCGCAUGAGUUCUACGGAAGAAAGAGGGGGACCCGCAAGGGCCUCUCGCGAGCGGAGCGGCCGAUGACUGAUUAGCCGGUUGGUGAGGUAACGGGCUCACCAAAGCAACGAUCAGUAGCUGGUCUGAGAGGACGACCAGCCACACUGGGACUGAGACACGGCCCAGACUCCUACGGAAGGCAGCAG
rnacentral:rRNA from 1 species